GACGAACGCUGGCGGCGUGCUUAACACAUGCAAGUCGAACGGAAAGGCCCUGCUUUUGUGGGGUGCUCGAGUGGCGAACGGGUGAGUAACACGUGAGUAACCUGCCCUUGACUUUGGGAUAACUUCAGGAAACUGGGGCUAAUACCGGAUAUGAGCUCCUGCUGCAUGGUGUGGGUUGGAAAGUUUCGGCGGUUGGGGAUGGACUCGCGGCUUAUCAGCUUGUUGGUGGGGUAGUGGCUUACCAAGGCUUUGACGGGUAGCCGGCCUGAGAGGGUGACCGGCGACAUUGGGACUGAGAUACGGACCAGACUCCUACGGGAGGCAGCAGUGGGGAAUAUUGCACAAUGGGCGGAAGCCUGAUGCAGCAACGCCGCGUGCGGGAUGACGGCCUUCGGGUUGUAAACAGCUUUCGCCUGUGACGAAGAGUGAGUGACGGUAAUGGGUAAAGAAGCACCGGCUAACUACGUG
rnacentral:rRNA from 1 species